UGGGGUCACAAAGAGUAGGACACGACUGAAGCGACUUAGCAUGCAUGCAUGCACAGUAUGGAUGAAUAUUAAAGACUUUAUGUUAAGGGAAAGAAGCCUGACUCAGAAUGCCACAUUAUAUAUCAUUAUGUAUCCUUCAAUUUACAUAAACUAUUCAGGACAGGCAAAUCCAUAGGCACUAAAAGUAGAUCACUGGUGAAAGGGGCUGGGGCAGAGGCACUGGGGAAUAGAAAACGACUAUUAAUGGGUAUGGGGCUUUUUUGGGGGUGGUGAAAAUGUUUUGGAAUUAAGACAGUGGUGAUCAACGCACAACUUUGUGAAUAUACUGAAACCACUGAAUUAAACACUUCAAAAUGGUGAACUUUACAGUAUGUGGAUUAUAUCUCAAUACAGCUGUUAUUUUAUAGAAAUCACUGGAAAAAGAGAAAUCUGACAAGUCAAGGGGAUAGAACAUUAGAAUGUACAAAACCAGGCCUAAGAGUAAAGAGGGAUUUAGUAUGUGAUACAGCAUUUCAGAGCAACAGGAGAAGGAUUAAAACUUUCCAUCCAAGAAAUUGUGUUCAGUGAGGAAUGGUGAAAGCAAAAGCCUUCAUCUCUCUGUGCCUCCGUUUCCUCACUGCUGACAUUGACAUUACCACAGCGGCUCUAUUCAGGUCUUGGGGAUAUUCAAUGACUAAGGUGACUCCAUGGUGGUUGGCACAGGGGAAGCCCUCAGAAAACAAUAGCUGCCUUCACGAUAGGCCCAGAUUGCAAGACCACAGCAUCUUAGAUCUGUAGAUGCAGUUCUAUAGAAUCCUGGAUGUUAGAACAGUAGAAUGUUAGAAUAAUAUAUUCCUCGAAUUUUGGAAUCACAGAGCCGUAGAAUUAUAAGUGUCUUAGAGCCAGAAGGACCUCAGAGACCAUCUGCCUCAGACGUUUGCAAGUCUGGAGAUUUAAAAACAACAGUAACAAUAAACAGCAGCAGCCACUAACAACUGUAUAAAAUGGUGACACUGAAGCUCAGAAAAGGAGUGAGGUUGACCCAGCAUCCCACAGACAUGAAAGUAUUAUUGGAAGGAGCCCUCAAUUUUGAGAUGGAAAGUCCUGGACGCUUGCCCAGCCCUGCCCCUGAGCAUUUCUGUAAAUGGAGGACUGUC